GGUGCUGUGGCUCAGCGGCGCAGCGUCAGCUUGGCAUUCAGAAGGUCCCGGGUUCAAUUCCCGAUAUCUCCA
rnacentral:tRNA from 1 species